UACGUAGGGUCCAAGCGUUAAUCGGAAUUACUGGGCGUAAAGCGUGCGCAGGCGGUGCUGUAAGACAGAUGUGAAAUCCCCGGGCUUAACCUGGGAACUGCAUUUGUGACUGCAGCGCUAGAGUGUGUCAGAGGGAGGUAGAAUUCCACGUGUAGCAGUGAAAUGCGUUGAGAUGUGGAGGAAUACCGAUGGCGAAGGCAGCCUCCUGGGAUAACACUGACGCUCAUGCACGAAAGCGUGGGGAGCAAACAGG
rnacentral:rRNA from 1 species